GGGGAUAGAUGGAGUAUGGCCGUAUGGUAAUAAGUGAUUAAGGAACUAAAUCAAGAUGAUGUCUUCGGAAGCUUUUAUAUACACUAGGAUUGUGCCCGUGCGCUGCUAUGGGGAACGAAACAUUUAUAUUGCAAUAUACUGAGCGUUCCACGAGACAAUAAUAAUAUGAAAAUAAGCACAAAUAUUUAAAACAGUGCACAUAUGUUGCUACAGUCGAAACAAAUUAUCUCCAUAAGCAUUAAUUUUCAUAUUGACAAUCAUGCACAAAUCAUUGUAUAUAAAAAAACAGUUGUCUUCUCAAGCCAACAAUGAAC
rnacentral:lncRNA from 1 species